GAUGAACGCUGGCGGCGUGCCUAAUACAUGCAAGUCGAGCGAACGGACGAGAAGCUUGCUUCUCUGAUGUUAGCGGCGGACGGGUGAGUAACACGUGGAUAACCUACCUAUAAGACUGGGAUAACUUCGGGAAACCGGAGCUAAUACCGGAUAAUAUUUUGAACCGCAUGGUUCAAAAGUGAAAGACGGUCUUGCUGUCACUUAUAGAUGGAUCCGCGCUGCAUUAGCUAGUUGGUAAGGUAACGGCUUACCAAGGCAACGAUGCAUAGCCGACCUGAGAGGGUGAUCGGCCACACUGGAACUGAGACACGGUCCAGACUCCUACGGGAGGCAGCAGUAGGGAAUCUUCCGCAAUGGGCGAAAGCCUGACGGAGCAACGCCGCGUGAGUGAUGAAGGUCUUCGGAUCGUAAAACUCUGUUAUUAGGGAAGAACAUAUGUGUAAGUAACUGUGCACAUCUUGACGGUACCUAAUCAGAAAGCCACGGCUAACUACGUGCCAGCAGCCGCGGUAAUACGUAGGUGGCAAGCGUUAUCCGGAAUUAUUGGGCGUAAAGCGCGCGUAGGCGGUUUUUUAAGUCUGAUGUGAAAGCCCACGGCUCAACCGUGGAGGGUCAUUGGAAACUGGAAAACUUGAGUGCAGAAGAGGAAAGUGGAAUUCCAUGUGUAGCGGUGAAAUGCGCAGAGAUAUGGAGGAACACCAGUGGCGAAGGCGACUUUCUGGUCUGUAACUGACGCUGAUGUGCGAAAGCGUGGGGAUCAAACAGGAUUAGAUACCCUGGUAGUCCACGCCGUAAACGAUGAGUGCUAAGUGUUAGGGGGUUUCCGCCCCUUAGUGCUGCAGCUAACGCAUUAAGCACUCCGCCUGGGGAGUACGACCGCAAGGUUGAAACUCAAAGGAAUUGACGGGGACCCGCACAAGCGGUGGAGCAUGUGGUUUAAUUCGAGGCAACGCGAAGAACCUUACCAAAUCUUGACAUCCUUUGACAACUCUAGAGAUAGAGCCUUCCCCUUCGGGGGACAAAGUGACAGGUGGUGCAUGGUUGUCGUCAGCCCGUGUCGUGAGAUGUUGGGUUAAGUCCCGCAACGAGCGCAACCCUUAAGCUUAGUUGCCAUCAUUAAGUUGGGCACUCUAAGUUGACUGCCGGUGACAAACCGGAGGAAGGUGGGGAUGACGUCAAAUCAUCAUGCCCCUUAUGAUUUGGGCUACACACGUGCUACAAUGGACAAUACAAAGGGCAGCGAAACCGCGAGGUCAAGCAAAUCCCAUAAAGUUGUUCUCAGUUCGGAUUGUAGUCUGCAACUCGACUACAUGAAGCUGGAAUCGCUAGUAAUCGUAGAUCAGCAUGCUACGGUGAAUACGUUCCCGGGUCU
rnacentral:rRNA from 1 species